rnacentral:misc_RNA from 1 species
AACGCACCUUGCGCUCCUUGGUAUUCCGAGGAGCAUGCCUGUUUGAGUGUCAUUAAAUUAAAUCAAAUCUCUAUUCUGUCAAAAGUUUAGAGGUAUGGAUUGUGGGGGUUUUGUGCUGGCUUUCUGCAAGUCAGCUCCCCUUAAAAGCAUUAGCAGAAACCCGUUGCUGGCAAUUCUGGUGUGAUAAUUAUCUACGCCAUUGUUAAUCACGGUUUUGCUUCCAAUAGUCCUGUUUAUUACGGACAAGUCUUUAAACAAUUUGACCUCAAGUCAGGUAGGACUACCCGCUGAACUUAA